AACGAACGCUGGCGGCAUGCCUAACACAUGCAAGUCGAACGAGACCUUCGGGUCUAGUGGCGCCCGGGUGCGUAACGCGUGGGAACCUUCCCUUAGGUUCGGAAUAACUCCCCGACAGGGGUGCUAAUACCGGAUCAUGUCUUCGGACCAAAGAUUUAUCGCCUUUGGAUGGGCCCGCGUGGGAUUAGCUAGUUGGUAGGGUAAAAGCCUACCAAGGCGACGAUCCAUAGCUGGUCUGAGAGGAUGAUCAGCCACACUGGGACUGAGACACGGCCCAGACUCCUACGGGAGGCAGCAGUGGGGAAUAUUGGAAAAUGGGCGAAAGCCUGAUCCAGCAAUGCCGCGUGAGUGAUGAAGGCCUUAGGGUUGUAAAGCUCUUUUACCCGGGAUGAUAAUGACAGUACCGGGAGAAUAAGCUCCGGCUAACUCCGUG
rnacentral:rRNA from 1 species